AAUAAGCUAUAUAAGAGCGUAAGGUGGAUGCCUUGGCUCUCAGAGGCGACGAAGGACGUGAUAAGCUGCGAUAAGCUGCGGGGAUUGGCACACACAAUUUGAUCCGCAGAUUUCCGAAUGGGGCAACCCACUAUAUUGAAGAUAUAGUAUCCGUUAAGGAAGCAAACCCAGGGAACUGAAACAUCUAAGUACCUGGAGGAAUAGAAAACAAAAGUGAUUCCGCUAGUAGUGGCGAGCGAACGCGGAAUAGCCCAAACCAAAUUUGUUUCGGCAAGUUUGGGGUUGUAGGACCACGAUAUUGAAUGUUCAAUGAAUUA
rnacentral:rRNA from 1 species